rnacentral:rRNA from 1 species
UGGGGAAUUUUGGACAAUGGGCGAAAGCCUGAUCCAGCAAUGCCGCGUGUGUGAAGAAGGCCUUCGGGUUGUAAAGCACUUUUGUCCGGAAAGAAAUCCUUGGCUCUAAUACAGUCGGGGGAUGACGGUACCGGAAGAAUAAGCACCGGCUAACUACGUGCCAGCAGCCGCGGUAAUACGUAGGGUGCAAGCGUUAAUCGGAAUUACUGGGCGUAAAGCGUGCGCAGGCGGUUUGCUAAGACCGAUGUGAAAUCCCCGGGCUCAACCUGGGAACUGCAUUGGUGACUGGCAGGCUAGAGUAUGGCAGAGGGGGGUAGAAUUCCACGUGUAGCAGUGAAAUGCGUAGAGAUGUGGAGGAAUACCGAUGGCGAAGGCAGCCCCCUGGGCAAUACUGACGCUCAUGCACGAAAGCGUGGGGAGCAAACAGGAUUAGAUACCCUGGUAGUCCACGCCCUAAAACGAUGUCAACUAGUUGUUGGGGAUUCAUUUCCUUAGUAACGUAGCUAACGCGUGAAGUUGACCGCCUGGGGAGUACGGUCGCAAGAUUAAAACUCAAAGGAAUUGACGGGGUCAUAGCUGUUUCCU